AAUAGAUACCCAGGUAGUCCACGCCGUAAACGAUGGAUACUAGCUGUGGGGGGUAUCGACCCCUUCCGUAGCGAAGCUAACGCGUUAAGUAUCCCGCCUGUGGAGUACGGUCGCAAGACUAAAACAUAAAGGAAUUGACGGGGACCCGCACAAGCGGUGGAUUAUGUUCUUUAAUUCGAUGCUAAACGAAGAACCUUACCAGGGUUUGACAUCCUUGGAAUUACUCCGAAAGGAGUGAGUGCUUUUGAACCAAGUGACAGAUGUUGCAUGGCCGUCGUCAGCUCGUGUCGUGAGAUGUUUGGUUAAGUCCAUCAACGAGCGCAACCCUUGUGAAUAGUUGGAUUUUUCUAUUCAGACUGCCCCGGUAACGGGGAGGAAGGAGGGGAUGAUGUCAGGUCAGUAUUACUCUUACAUCCUGGGCUAGAAACGUAAUACAAUGGCAAGUACAAUGCGCAGCGAAGCCGCGAGGUGAAGCAAAUCGCAUCAAAGCUUGUCCCAGUUCGGAUAAGAGGCUGAAACUCGCCUCUUUGAAGUCGGAAUCGCUAGUAA
rnacentral:rRNA from 1 species